GGCGCUUUGGCGGAGUGGUUAUCGCGUGGCACUAGAAGUAGGCUGAAUGCCAUUACACUUCUAGGGUAAAUAUCUACUCAACAUAAAUGCCAUUCCCUCUGGGAGCAUAGGUUCAAAUCCUGUAGGCGUCG